CAGCGUGCUCCGGGCGUCGGC
rnacentral:sRNA from 1 species